GGGGGGUAAAGAGCAAAUACACUAAUAAAUACUCGAAAAAAAAAAAUAGGCUUUCUACAUAUGCAUCGUGCAAAAACGAUUUUUAUCAGCUGUAGCAAAGAAAGAAACUUCAUAGAAGUCGAAAUAUGAAGAAAUCGAUAUGCCUAGAUAGUUUAUUCUAUGGAUAAAGGAUCUAAUUGAUAGAGGAAGCACCGUAAAGAUCAAUUCGCGAGGUUUUGGGCCGAUGCCGAUCCAAUAAGAACUGCUUAUUAUGUCAUGAUAUGAGAUAAAAGUAAGGAAUCCACUUAUGUAAUAAAGUCGAUCCCCUAAGGUAUUGAGCAGCGGUGUAGCAUCAGAUCCCAAAGACAGUAAGCCUUUUCUUUCUUAGGAAGAAAGGGCUUUUUCAAAGAUUCUAUAUCAAUUUUUAUAUGAAACCGAGAUAGAUACCUUUCAGAAAAUUCUAACUAUAGUGGAAAUGCUUCUAUGUUAUUCUUCUGACGGUGGGAGAAAAGAUAAAAUGAAAGCAAAGCUGAUUAUUAAUUUAAUCAAAAGUCAAGUUUGAAACUCAUGCUCAUGGAAUUAACCUCUUUUGGUUAACCCCCCAAAAAAAAGAAUAAAGAUAAAGAUCGAUCUAUGAGAAAUCUCAUUCAAUUCGAUAUAC
rnacentral:lncRNA from 1 species